rnacentral:rRNA from 1 species
GAUGAACGCUGGCGGCGUGCCUAAUACAUGCAAGUCGAGCGAACAGACGAGGAGCUUGCUCCUCUGACGUUAGCGGCGGACGGGUGAGUAACACGUGGAUAACCUACCUAUAAGACUGGGAUAACUUCGGGAAACCGGAGCUAAUACCGGAUAAUAUAUUGAACCGCAUGGUUCAAUAGUGAAAGACGGUUUUGCUGUCACUUAUAGAUGGAUCCGCGCCGCAUUAGCUAGUUGGUAAGGUAACGGCUUACCAAGGCGACGAUGCGUAGCCGACCUGAGAGGGUGAUCGGCCACACUGGAACUGAGACACGGUCCAGACUCCUACGGGAGGCAGCAGUAGGGAAUCUGCCGCAAUGGGCGAAAGCCUGACGGAGCAACGCCGCGUGAGUGAGGAAGGUCUUCGGAUCGUAAAACUCUGUUAUUAGGGAAGAACAAAUGUGUAAGUAACUAUGCACGUCUUGACGGUACCUAAUCAGAAAGCCACGGCUAACUACGUG